rnacentral:lncRNA from 1 species
UUUUGCUUGUUUGACCUAACCAGUUGCUGUAGGCCUUGCGGAUGCCUUGCAGGGUGGUGCUAUAACUAUGAUCAUGAAUGCAAUGAGUACACAUAAUGGUCGCUACUGAGUUUAAAAAAAAGAAAGAAAAACAGCUCUGAGUCAGAAAACGACAUGGGAUUCAAUUAUAAAUGUUCUAUAUAUAACAUAUGUAUUUGAAUAAAGAAUCUCUCGUGUUAUGUCCCUGUUUGGUUGAGCUCUGCCAUUGUUGUAAGAGUUCAUGUUUUUCGUCUUCUCGUUGGUGUGUUGGUAUUGUGUGUACCCUUGUUAUUGGCAUAUGUAAUGAUAACUAAGUUUACGAGUAUUUACCUAUUUUCUUUUAUGUAUAAUAAUUUGAUACUAUUGCUUUUUACAAAACAAACUUUUUUUUAUGCACUUUUAACAUGAUUUGGUAAAUGUUAAAACUUUUUUUUAUAAAUAAAUCUAAUAAAUAAAUUUUCAAAUAAAUAAAAAAUAAAGAAUCAUGAAGCUGAUUUAUUAUUUUCUUAUUCGAAAGGCAUAAAGAUAAUGUGGAAUAACAAUUUUAUACCAUUCUUUUAUAACAUUUUUCUAAAAAUAAUUUAAGCCUCGUGCUCAAUUUUAAAUAUAAAAUAUUUAUUUUAUAUUAUAUUAAAAAAAUUAAAAUUAAUUAUUCGAUUCGAUUCAGGGUUUUAACUUGAAAACCAAAACGAGUGAGUAGUAGCCUACUAGAGUACGUAGAUCCAAUUAGCAAAUCAACACUAGUUUAUACGUGCUUCCUUUGAACCGCUUCCAAAUCAGCUCCAAAAAACUGCUAGAGGCUCGAGCAACUUAAAAACCUCAAAAUAAUAAAAAUUACAGAGCUGAAAAGCACAAAAAAUGCACCGUUGCAGAGGCAGGUGAGCUGAAAAACUAGCAGCUGAAAGGGACAAACCCGUCACGUGCAGCUCUCCAAUAGCAGGUCAUGGAAUUCAGUGAAGAAAAACCACAGCAGGCAUAAGCAGCACAAAACCAGACCCAAACAGCUCAAUAAACAGAAUUGAAACAGUUGAUUAGACCCAAACCAGCUCGAAUCAGUAGCAUCGUUUUCUAUAUAAUGGGCCGCCUCCACCUACAAGCUAUUCCACACACAAAAAACAUAAUCAUGGAGCGGUGCAAGAAGUUCGCUUUUCUGAUGGUUGCAAUGGCUCUGCUUCUUCAAUCCAUGGUGCCUCCGACAGCAUUAGCUGCUCGUAACAAUGUUAUGGAAUACAAUCCAUUGGCAAGCGUAUUCUCGAGGGAAGGCCCUGGCUGCAUCGCAAAAGGCGGGUUUUGCUUGUUUGACCUAACCAGUUGCUGUAGGCCAUGCGGAUGCCUUGCAGGGUGGUGCUAUAACAUUGAUCAUGAUUGCAAUGAGUACACAUAAUGGUCGCUACUGAGUUAAAAGAAAACAGUUCUGAGUAAAAAAAUGACAUGGGAUUCGAUUAUAAAUGUUCUAUAUAUAACAUAUGUAUUUGAAUAAAGAAUCUCGUGUUAUGUCCCUGUUUAAUUGAGCUGUGCCGUUGUUGUAAGAGUUGGUGUUUUCCGUCUUCUCGUUGGUGUGUUGGUACUGUGUGUACCCUUGUUAUUGGCAUGUCUAAAAAUAAAUAUAUAUGUCAAUCAACUAAGUUUUAUGAGUAUUUACCUGCCUCUCUUAUCUAAUUCAUGGAAGGAUCACAUUUUAUAAAUUGAGCGAGGAGAUGUUAUUGUCGAGACUUGAAUCCUGGACUUUAAAUAUUAACACACAGCUCUUAACUACUUGCUCAAUUACGGUAAAUAUCAUUAAUAAAUACUAAUAUCAACGCGGAUGUUGGAAAUCACCACAGUUGGGUUGGGUGAAAAUCAAUAUGGAUGGAACGGUUGGGCGAAUGACUGAUAUAGCGACAGUAGGAGGAGUCAUCAGAGAUCAUAAUGUGAAGUGGCUGUGAGGCUGUUAUAGCAAUCUUGGUUCGUGUUCUGUGCUUCAUGCUGAGUUAUGGAGUGGUUGGGAGGGUUUCUUUCUGGCAUUGAAUUGCGGGUUUAGCAGGGUGGUUUCAGAAAUGGAUAAUGUAAAAAUAUUAUGUUCUCAGGAGAAAGCUAAGCACAAUGCUAUGGUCAGGAGAAUAAAGACUAUACCGGUUAGCCAUGGGAAGUGAAGAUACAGCAUGCUGUUGGUGAGGGUAAUUUUAUUCCAAAUGGUCUUGCAAACCAGCGGCUGAAUUCGAAUCCAGAAACACUUGUACUUAUCAGUGCACUAGACGAGAUCUUGAGAGAAUUACAUGAUGAAGCAUGCCAAAUUGGGUAUGGCAGGGUGUGAGUGUCUUAGUUGUAACUUUGUAUAGCUUUUUAUUUUACUCACGAAUUAAAAAAUAAUAUAAAUUCACGUAACUAAAUAAUAUUGCUUAAAGUGGUAUGAAGUAUGGAAUACUGGGGAAUUAUUAUACUUCUGUUUUUUGAAUUAUAUUUUAAAAUUCAUAUAUGUUUGUGGGAUCAAUUGGAUAUAUAAAAAGGACUGAUGUAAUUAUGCUUUCACUUUCAUUAUUAAGAUUAUCAAUUUAGUUUGUUAGUUGACAUAUAUGUUUAUUAAUAAAGUUAGCUUUUGAAAAAUAAAUAAAGUUAGCAAGAUUGAUAUACCAUCCUACCUAGGGAUGGCAACAGGGUAGGGUGGGACGAAUUUUUGCUUGUCCCUACUCAAACAAGAUGGACCGACCCAACUUAAAUUUUAUUUAAUUAUUUUGUUUUUUAUUUUAAAAAUUAAUUUUUUUGAGUUUACACAUAUAUAUAAUUAUAUGGCAGUGACAUUUUUGCAAAUAUUUAGGGACGGGUUGAGGGGAUUUACCUCAAACCCAAUCCCAACCCCUUAGCAUUUGAAUUUAUUGAAAUGCUUGGAGCAGAAGUCCAUUUAUUAUUGUUACAGUAUGCUUUUUUUUUGUGCAAAGCUUGCUCUCGGAUUGCAAAGAAAAUCAAUUGGAUUUUGAUAGUAAGCUUUACCUAGUAUCUUUAUUUUUGUAAUUCCAGCUUUAUGGAUUUGAAUUUUAUGGUAAAAGUACUAGGAAAGCAUUUCGGCUCUUUCUAUUGAAAAAAUAAAUUAAUUAAUCUUUAUAUAUUUUGAAACGUGUAAAUUAAUUCAUCCAUUAAAUUUUAUGACGUGGAACGUUAAUUUAAAUGGUUGAUUACUAGUCUAAUCCCUGAUCAUAGCUAAAAUAUCAUUCUUUUUAAAAAUUCUUAACAAUAAUUCUAAAAAAUUAAAAAAAUCUUAAAAAUAAAUAUAACUUAUUAAAAAUUAUGUUAAAAUAUUUUAAAAAUAAAAAUUAUAAAUAAAAAAUUCUAGAAAACAUAACUUAUAUCUAUUUAAAAAAAAUUUGUCAAACUUUCAAGUCGAAACUUGAAACCAUCAUAUUUUUUUACAAGACUUUCUUCCCUGUUGUAAAAAAACCCAAAAAAUCAAAAAGGUUUUUCAUGCUUGAUUGAAGUCAUAAAGAAAUAAAUAAAAACUUGAUUGAACCCAAGAAAAAUCAUCUAAAAGUUUUGACUACUCAUUUUCAAAUUUCUCCUACUUUCAUAAAUAUUCAUUUAAUCUUCGUCCCCUGUGCUUCCAACUAAAAUGUAUAUAAAAAUUUAUUUAAUGUUUACUUUAUUCUACAUUAGUGAAUACUCAUUUUUGCAUCUCCUAAUGAUGUAUAAUCAUAUUACAAAAUUUUGAUUACUCAUUUUCACAUCCCCUUAGCUAUUACAAACUUUCCUAUUUAAAAAAUCUUAUUGUUUAAUACCCUAGAAGCCUUAAUCUUUAAGCUACUGGGCUUUGAAUUUUUAAUAUAAAUGUGUGGGUUUUAUCUUUAAGCUUUAAUCUUAUUCGAAAAUUAGCAAAAGAUAAAUACAUUAAAAGCACAAAUUUAACUUGCUAUCAUACCCUGAACCUAAACCCAUAAUUUAAUAGAAGACCCAACUUUGAACCGAUCUGACUCGACUAUUUUUCUAAUUUCACCCUAUAUGACCUACAUCGAACUUAAUUAUUCGAAAAUAAAAUUAGACCCAAACGGAUCGGGUCAACACAAAACCCGUCAAAUUCACCAGGACGAAGACAAGGGGCAAGUAAUGCCCAAAAACAUAUAUAUAUAUAUAAUUUAGAUCUUUUAACAUUUAGGAAAUUUUAAAUUAAAAAAAAUACAUUUUAACAUUUUAAUCUCAAAUAUUUAUGAUUCAUCUCUAUAUCUUUUUAAAAGUAUUUUUCUGGGUUCACCCUUACUCCAACCAUUCGUACUGCUUAGUAACAUAUAAACGUAACAAAUUAUUUAUCUCUCCCAUCAGUACUACAUGCACAUAAGUGCAUUCACUAUUCCAUGCAAUAUCUCAUUUGUCACAUGCAUUACGAACCUGGUCCCCAUCACUACAUGCACAUAAAUGCAUUCAUUAUUCCAUGCAAUAUCUCAUAUGUCACAGGCAUUACGAACCUGGACCAUCAUCUUUUCUAUAUAAAGGACCCUCCACCUACGAACAUUCCACACAAAACACAUAAUCAUGGAAUCCUUCAAGAAGAUCGUUUUUCUCAUCGUUGCUUUAUCUAUAGUUCUUCAAGCCACGGUGCCUCCAAACUGCGUUAGUCCUCUCGUAACGAGGUUAUGUCCUCUGCUGCUGUAUCGAAAGUGGCUAACGAUUCCAACGGUUUGGCUAAGGUUUUCGAGAAGGUAGGCCCUGGCUGCAAACCUAAAGGUUCGUUUUGCUUGUUUGACCUAACUAGUUGCUGUAGGCCUUGCGGAUGCCUUGCAGGGUGGUGCAAUAACAUUGAUCAUGAUUUCAAUUAAUGAGUACACAUAAUGGUCGUUACUGAGUCAAAAAAAAAAAACACAGCUCUGAGUCAAAAAACGACAUGGGAUUCGAUUAUAAAUGUUCUAUAUAUAACAUAUGUAUUUGAAUAAAGAAUCUCGCGUUAUGUCCCUGUUUGGUUGUGCUGUGCUAUUUGUUGUGAGAGUUGGUGUUUUCCGUGUUCUCUUUGGUGUGUUGGUAGCAUUUUUCUCAAAAACAAAUUAAGUGCCUUUCACAAUUUUAAAUAUAAAAUAUUUAUUUUAUAUUAUAAAAAAUUAAAAUUAAUUAUUCGAUUCGAUUCAGUUUUCUAACUUGAAAGCCAAAACGAGUGAGUAGUAGCCUACUAGAGUAGAUCGAAUUAGCAAAUCGACACUAGUUUAUACGUGCUUCCUUUUGAACCGCUUCGAAAUCAGCUCCAAAAAACUGCUAGAGUCUCGAGCAACUUAAAAACCUCAAAAAAAAUUAUAGAGCUGAAAAGCACAAAAAAUGCACCGUUUCAGAGGCAGGUGAGCUGAAAAACCAGCAGCUGAAAGGGACAAACCCGUCACGUGCAGCUCUCCAAUAGCAGGUCAUGGAGUUCAGUGAAGAAAAACCACAGCAGGCAUAAGCAGCACAAAACCAGACCCAAACAGCUCAAUAAACAGAAUUGAAACAGUUGAUUAGACCCAAACCAGCUCGAAUCAGUAGCAUCGUUUUCUAUAUAAUGGGCCUCCUCCACCUACAAGCUAUUCCACACACAAAAAACAUAAUCAUGGAGCGGUGCAAGAAGUUCGCUUUUCUGAUGGUUGCAAUGGCUCUGCUUCUUCAAUCCAUGGUGCCUCCGACAGCAUUAGCUGCUCGUAACAAUGUUAUGGAAUACAAUCCAUUGGCAAGCUUAUUCUCGAGGGAAGGCCCUGGCUGCAUCGCAAAAGGCGGGUUUUGCUUGUUUGACCUAACCAGUUGCUGUAGGCCAUGCGGAUGCCUUGCAGGGUGGUGCUAUAACAUUGAUCAUAAUUGCAAUGAGUACACAUAAUGGUCGCUACUGAGUUAAAAAAAACAGUUCUGAGUCAAAAAAUGACAUGGGAUUCGAUUAUAAAUGUUCUAUAUAUAACAUAUGUUUUUGAAUAAAGAAUCUCGUGUUAUGUCCCUGUUUAAUUGAGCUGUGCCAUUGUUGUAAGAGUUGGUGUUUUCCGUCUUCUCGUUGGUGUGUUGGUACUGUGUGUACCCUUGUUAUUGGCAUGUCUAAGAAUAAAUAUAUAUGUCAAUCAACUAAGUUUUAUGAGUAUUUACCUGCCUGUUUUAUCUAAUUCAUGGACGGAUCACAUUUUAUAAAUUGAGCGAGGAGAUGUUAUUGUCGAGACUUGAAUCCUGAACUUUAAAUAUUAACACACAGCUGUUAACUACUUGCUCAAUUACGGUAAUAUCAUUAAUAAAUACUAAUAUCAACACGGAUGUUGGCAAUCACCACAGUUGGGUUGGGUGAAAAUCAAUAUGGAUGGAACGGUUGGGCGAAUGACUGAUAUAGCGGCAGCAGGAGGAGUCAUCAGACAUCAUAAUGUAAAGUGGCUGUGUGGCUGUUAUAGCAAUCUUGGUUCGUGUUCUGUGCUUCAUGCUGAGUUAUGGAGUGCUUGGAAGGGUUUCUUUUUGGCAUUGAAUUGCGGGUUUCGCAGGGUGGUUUCAGAAAUUGAUAAUGUAAAAAUAUUAUGUUCUCAGGAGAAAGUUGAGCACAAUGCUAUAGUCAGGAGAAUAAGGAAUAUAUCGGUUAGCCAUGGGAAGUGAAGAUACAGCAUGUUGUUGGUGAGGGUAAUUUUAUUCCAGAUGGUCUUGUAAACUGGGGCGGCUGAAUUCGAAUCCAGAAACAUAUGACUUACAUGAUUAAGCAUGCCAAAUUCGGUAUGGUAGUUGUGUAUCGAAAAAAGGGUAAAUUAGUAUUUAUACAUUUCAGAACGUGUAAAUUAAUUCUCUAUUAAAUUUUAUCUAUUAAAUGAUGAUAUGAAAUGUUAAUUUAAAUGGUUGAUUACUAAUUUCUUUUUUAUUGUAAGAAACCCAAAAAAUCAAAACUAAUUCUCAUGCUUGAUUGAAAUCAUAAGUAAAUAAAUAAAAACUUGAUUGAACCCAAGAAAAUCAACAAGAAGUUUUGAUUACUCACUUUCAAAUUUCUUAUGCUUUUGUAAAUGUUCAUUUAAUCUUCGUCGCUUAUAUUUCCGACUAAAAGGUAUAAAAAAUUUUAUUUAAUGUUUACUUUCUUCUACUUUAGUGAUUGCUUAAUUUGUCUUUUAUGCUUUCAUAUCUCUUAAUGAUGUGUAAUCGCCGUUUAUAAAAUUCCGAUUACUCAUUUUCAUAUCGUCUUAACUAUUAUAAACUUUCCUACUUGAAAAUCUUAUUGUUUAAUACCUUAGAAGCUUUAAUUUUAAGUUAUUGGGUUUUGAAUUUUUAAUAUAAAUGUAUAGAUUUUGAACAAUUUAAAAUUUUUUAAAAUAAUGUUUUAAAUUUAUAGGAAGAAAUAAAAUAUAAAAAGUGAAAUUUUAAUUUAAAAUAAAAUCCUAUUGCCAUCAACAUGUGGAGAAGGAGUGAAAGGAGUUUUUUUGUCUGCAUCUUAUUCUUCCUCGCUAAAAAUAUAUGCAAAUUGAAAGGUUUUGUCUCCUGUAAAUGUGUUAUUUCUUUGGUUUGAUUUUAUUUCAGCAAUAAUAAAAUUAUUAUUUUAUUGAAAUGAGUGUUUUUAGAAUUACAUUGAAAGCGUCUUCAACAGAUAAUGUUAGUGUUUCAUUAUAUUGGAUAGUUAUACUUCUCAUCAAAUCAAGAAUUUUAUUAAAAAAGAAAAUGUUUCCCUAGCAUUAAAAUAGUGUUCAGUUUUUCAAAAAAAUAAUAACACCAUAAUUCACCCAAAAAAAAAACAUAAGUUUUUGCUAUAAUAAAUUUGGGUUUGAUUUUGUUUUAACAUAUUUUUAAUAUAUUUUGAUAAUUUUUAUUUAUUUUUAAUUUCUUAGAGUUAUUGUUAAGAAAUUUUUUAAAAUAUCAAAAUUAUAUUUUAAUUAUAUUUCAAGGACCAAAUUAAUAAUUAACCAUUUAAAUUAAUAUUCUAAAUCAUCAUUUUUUUCAAUAGAAUGGCCGAAAUGCAAUCCACUGCUUUUUAUCAAAUUUAAUACCUAUUAAGAUUCAUUUUAAUUUUAAUCUUCAGCUGCAUGAAGGGAUCUAUUAAAAUAAUGUUAUCCCACUUAUUCUAAAUUUUAUUUCACGUAAUCUUACGAUUUUAUAAGUUGUAUGAUUUAACCUAGACUCCAAAGAAAAGAGAGAAAUUUGAUGUAUCAAGACUUCCAACCACUAUGCCAUGCAAGUCACGUAAUUUGUCAUGCAAUCCAUAUGCUUAUAUAUGCUUUUUUUUUCUUUUAAUUUUUUUGCUAAGCCACUAAUAUAUGUUCAGUAUUUUCCAUCAAAUUUAUGAUCAGAUUUAACACUAAGAAAUGGAGUACUGCAAGAAGCUUGCUUUGGUGUUGGCGAUGAUGGUUGUGGCAGCCACCACAACGGCAACCGCGGAUCGCAACGAGCUGACGGAAACUCUUUCCAUCGAAGCAAUUGUUUGAACUCUAGCUAGACUAACAUCAUCAAGAACCCUUUGGGCAAUAUUUUCGACGUUAAUGGCGAACCUGUAGUGGAAUGCAACCCUGAUGAUCAAAACUGCAUUAAAAAAUAUGGAUUUUGCUUGUUUCAGAACAAGAUUUGCUGUGAUGACUGCACGUGCUUCGGGUUGUGCGCGCUUUGCAGACAAGAAUAAAGACAGUGACUGAUCAGGAAGGGAUCUCAGGAAUCAAUGUUUUAUUGUCUUUCUUUUUGUACCUAACUAUGGUGCUGGUACUGUUUUCAUGUUUUGUUGAUGUUUGCGGACUUAAAUUAUCAAUAAGAUCGCAUUUAUUAAAACUUAAGUAUUUUUCCUCAGCUAUAUAUAUAUUUGCUGGGAGAAGGCUUACUCUGGAACCUCAACGGGUCGGUAUGAUCUCAAGUCUGAGGAUUUUUUUUUUUUCUGUAAAAAGCCCAAGUGUUUAAGGCAUUAGAUUCAUAGAAUCUUAUCGAGAUCAAAUCAUAUAUAGCGCACAGCCGCCUAUCAAAAGAUAUAUAAGCAUUUUACUAGGGUUUGAACUUUUACCCUUAAAUGAUAACAAAUAGGGUGAAGUCAAAAAACUUUUUUAGGGGUCAAAAUAAGAGUAUUUUACAAAAAUAAUAUAAAAAAUAUAAAAAUAGUAUAACAUUUUUUUAUUUACUAAAAUGGUACCAAAAAAAACAGUUAAAAAAACGAAAGAAGGUGAGUUCUACAUGGUCUACAAUUUCACGGAAUGAUUUCGUGAAAAUUUCGUCCGAAAAUUUUGACGUUUGGGCACUCAAUUUAGUCAAAAAGACUAAAUUGUAAAAAGUUCAAAAGUUGAGUUCUACAUGUUAAAGGUGUCCAAUUAUUAUGAAAUUUUAAAUUGGAGGUCCUUAAAUAGUAAUUAGACCAUUGGUUAAAUUGUGGACAAAAAUAAACAUGAGAUAAGUGAAAUAGGAUAUUUUUAAGUUAGGGUAUUUUGGUAAUUUGAUAAUUAAAUGGACAAAAAGACAAAAUAAAAGCCAAAAACCCUUGUCCAUCUUCUAGCAUGACCGAAUAUGUCAUGGAAGCCAUGCCUAGGGUUUUGUUCAAGCUUCAUAGUAAGUCCAUCUUUGCCCCGUUUUUAAUGUACUUUACAUUUUUGAGAUCCUCGUAGCUCGGUUUAUUUAUUUCUACCAUUAUUUUGAGCUUGGGUUUGUGUUUAAAAAUUUACCCAUAUGUGUCAUGCAUGUAUUUUGAUAUUUUAUGGAAGAAUAUGAAUGUUUGGAGUGUGAAAAACAAUUUUUACUAAGUGAUUUUUGAUGAAAUUGCAUAAGAGAUUAAUUUGUAAAAAGUUGUAAAAUGUGUGUAAGUGUGUGAAUAAGUGAAAUUUUGGACUGCUAUAGUUAUGAAAAUGGUUAGGCUCGGCCUAAAAUUCAAGGAAAUUGAAUAAAAAUUAUUUUACGAGCCUAGGGGCAAAAUUGUAAUUUAGUGAAACUUUAGGGGGUAAAAUAUAAUUUUGCCAUAAUGUGAUUUUUUGAACUAGAUUGAAUAAUGUGAGUAUUAAAUAAGUGCAGAUAUAAGUGUGAAAAUUUAUGAACAAUGUGCUCGAUAUUUAAUCGAACCUUUGGUAAGAUGAAAUGUAGUAAGUGAAAUUAUGAAAGAGUAAAAUUUACAACAAAACAGCUUUGGAUAGCAACAGUCGUGUGAAUUUGAAAAAUCACUAAAAAUGAUAGAAAUUCAAUUAGAGGUUGAAUGAGAUAAGAAAUUAAAUCUUAUUGAGUCUAUUUUCACAUAAAAGAAACAGAGUAAGCAAAAGAAUUGUAUACUAUGAGAUAUUUGAAUUUUAGUGAGACAUGACUAGAAUGAUUUCGAAAUCCCCUGUUCUGACUUUGUAAAACCAUUAAAAAUUGUACAGAAAUAAUUAUGGGCUAAACUUUAUAUUUUUAGAAUUAUGAAUAAGUUUAUUUUCAAAAGAAGCAAACAAGAACAUUAUCUGAAUUCUGUACAAUGAGAUAAUUAUUUUUUAGUGAAGAGGGGUCAGAACUGUCGAGCAGUGAAACAGGGGGAACUUUAAAGAAUAAAAUGUACUUAUUGGAUAAGACAAAAUUCUGAAAAUUUUAUGGUAAGAAUAUAUGUCAGUCUAGUUUUGGGAAAAAUUAAUGAAUCUUAAUUUGGAGCUCUGUAUCUCGAGAUAUAAAUAAAUUAGUGACUCUGACUCAGAUAGACAGCUUGAAUUUACAUACAGGAAAAUAGUGAAAGUAUGGAUAAUGUUGUUUAAGUGUGUUAUACACAUUAAGGAUGUGGAAUGGAGAGGAGGAGGAGGAAAAUUGGAAAAAUAUAUGAAUGGUCAUGCAUAAUUGGUCAUAUGCUCGAUUAUAAUAGAUAAAUGAUGAAAUAGAAAUGAUGCUUAUAUUUGUGCAUUAUUGGUCAUGGUUUAAGCUGAUGUGGGAAAAUAAAGUUUCAUCGUAUGUAUGUAUGGUAUAUUUGGUAUAUGAUUUGGCAUGAAGUAAUGUCAUGAAUGGUUUAUGAAUUAACACAUGUCCGUAAGUUUACGAUAAAUAAAUGCAAUAUUUCAAUAAUUAUUAUUAAUGUUGUUAUUUUUCAGCAAUUAUGUAUUUAUUUCAUGGAAUUAUUUAAUGUUGACUCAAGUAUGAGAUGACAGAGAAUCAGUGAUAAAAUGUCCCGUUGAAAUAUUAGGAAUGUAUCGGAUACAAAUGUCAUGACAUUAAGGGAAUGAGAUCCCAUGUAAGACCAUGUCUGGGACAUGGCAUUGGCAUUAUUGAGGUUAUGAGAGGUCCCACGUAAGACCAUGUCUGGGACAUGGCGUUGGCACCGAGAUGAGAGGUCCCCCGUAAGACCAUGUCUGGGACAUGGCAUCGGCACCGAUAUGAGAACUCUCAUGUAAGACCAUACCAUGAGAACUCACAUUUUAUAAAUUAAGCGAGGAGAUGUUAUUGUGGGGACUUGAAUCCUGGAGUUUAAAUAUUAACACACAGCUCUUAACUACUUGCUCAAUUACGGUAAAUAUCAUUAAUAAAUACUAAUAUCAACACGGAUGUUGGCAAUCACCACAGUUGGGUUGGGUGAAAAUCAAUAUGGAUGGAACGGUUGGGCGAAUGACUGAUAUAGAGGCAGCAUGAGGAGUCAUCAGAGAUCAUAAUGUGAAGUGGCUGCGAGGCUGUUGUACCAAUCUUGGUUCGUGUUCUGUGCUUCAUGCUGAGUUAUGGAGUGCUUGGAAGGGUUUCUUUCCGGCAUUGAAUUGCGGGUUUCACAGGGUGGUUUUAGAAAUGGAUAAUGUAAAAAUAUUGUGUUCUCAGGAGAAAGUAGAGCACAAUGCUAUAGUCAGGAGAAUAAGGAAUAUACCGGUUAGCCAUGGGAAGUGAAGAUGCAGCAUGUUGUUGGUGAGGGUAAUUUUAUUCCAGAUGGUCUUGUAAACCUGGGGCGGCUGAAUUCGAAUCCAGAAACAUAUGAAUUACAUGAUGAAGCAUGCCAAAUUGGGUAGGGUAGGUGUCUAUUGAAAAAAACAGUAAAUUAGUAUUUAUACAUUUUGAAAUGUGUAAAUUAAUUCUUAUUAAAUUUUAUCUAUUAAAUGAUGAUAUGAAAUGUUAAUUUAAAUGAUUUAUUUUCAAAUAUAUAAAAGCUACUUUCUCAUAUGAUAUUACUUAGUUCACAAAUGAGAUAGGACCCUUCACUAAUUUUGACUUUAAUAUACUGCACUCAUAGCUAUCCAUAUAUUAUAUUUUGCACUCACUUACUUUUUCAAGUUUUUAUUAAUCUUGUUAUAUACUUAUGAUCAUCAACCCUAAAACCAUAUAAGGUUCAGGUUGUCCAUCCGUGACCCGACUAGGGCCUACCAGAUGGAUACAUGUAAACCUCACAGUACAAAGUCAAUAAUGGGAGCUUGCGAUCUCAGCUCGUAUAUGUCCACGAAGUGUCCAGCAGGCAGCCCAGAACAAUAUACAUGCCCAGUAUAUGUAUAGAGUCUAUUAAGAACGUCAAUUCCAUGAACAGUAGCUAUGUAUAUAAAUAUUCGAUUGUUCCCUUUAGUGAAACGUAACGAAAAAUUACUCAACAAAUCUAUUAAUAUAUUAUAUUGUUUUUUAAAAAAAAAUUAUUUUCCUGAUUUAAAUUUCAUUUCAGUAGUUUGAUAAGAGAUGUUGAAUUGGUCUCCGGUGCAUAUAUGCAUCGAUUGUAACAUUUAAAAGAUGAAAUUCCUUUUCUGUAAGAUUGAAGAUGUGAUUUUCCUUUUCUCUAAGAUAGAAUGCAUAUUUGUUGAUUUUUAUUUUCUUCUUCUUGAAAUAAUAAAGAAAGAGAAGAAUGAAUUACCCUCUUUUAUUCUUUCCUUUAAUGCUGUGAGGGCUCAACCUAUUGGCUGGGAAUGGAAUCUAUACAAAUGUCUUUUAAUAGAAAAUUAUUUGAUUAUUUUUUAGUAGAGUGUUUAGAUUUUAUAAGUAAAAUUUUAAAUGUGUUAUAUGUCUUAUUAGGUACAACAAGAUAAAAUAAAAAUUCAAUAAUUAAAAAAAUUAUGUUGUAGUGUUUGAGUAUUACUUUUGGAAUUAAAAUGGGGAUAUAUCAAAUUCUAACAGCACGUUUGGUUCGCUAUAAUGGAAUAGAGGUGUAAUGAAAUAGAUGGGUAAUAGAAUAGAGGCGUAAUAGGUAAUUCUUUUGUUGGUAAAUGGAAUGGAAGAGAGGGUCGUAAUAGUCGCGUGUGGGGUGGUGCAUGGAAUAGAGGUGUAAUGCAAAAGAAAAAAACGAAAAGACUAUAACCCCUUAGCAGAAUUUUUUAGGUAGAUGAUUAUUGGUAUUGGUAUAAAAUUUAUGAAAGCGUAUUAGAUAAAAAUAUAAUUUAAUCCUUUUGAAAAAUAGCAGAAAGAAGUAAAAAAAAUAAAAAAAUAAUAAUAUUAUAUAAAACUGGAAAUAUAAAAUUUUUAGAUUUACUUAAAUCAUAAUAUAUAAUAAUAUAAAAUAUAAUUUAAAAUAAUUAUUAUUAAAUAUAAUUUAAUAAUAAUAUAUAAUUUAAUAAAAUUCUUAAUAUUAAAUAUUCUUAUAUGAAUUUACUAAAAUCAUAAUAUAUAAUACUAUAAAAUAUAAUUUAAAAUUAUUAUUAUUAAAUAUAAUUUAAUAAAAAUAUAUAAUUUAAUAAAAUUCUUAAUAUUAAAUAUUCUUAUAUGAAUUUACUAAAAUCAUAAUAUAUAAUACUAAAAUCAUAAUAUAUAUAAUUUAAUUUUUGUAACUUCUUCCUAGAUAGAAAUUGAAAAACAAUAGCAAACAGAUAAUUUAAAGGAAUUUUUCAUUAAUUUUAUAAAUAUUAAUUGGGAGAAGCAACUCCAGAAAUCAUCAUAUGUUAUAAAUAAUUCAGCACUUAUGAGCUAAACAAAGGAGCUUGAUGAUAUCCCAAUACACAGGUUUAUACAAACUUGAUAGCAAUCUUCUAUCAAAAGUGUACGGAUGAAGAUAAGAGAUGGUGACAUUUUGGUAAGAUAAAGGUUCCAGGAUAGCUUAUCGCCCCAAAAGCGCAACACGAUCCUUCUGUACUGCCUAUGUCAGGUUGAUGUCAAAGAGUUCGAAUCGAAUAGGCAUCUCCAUCUCAUAGAAGGGGUUCUUCAAAACAUAAUCUGUGUAGAGCUCAUAAACAACUUUCAAGAGAGCCUGUAACACCCCUAUUACUUGCCCCCACUCCUGGGUUUCUCUGCGGUCUACCUCUGGUAGGAGCAUUACCUGAUCUCGCACUCGUUAUUUCUUCUCUUUUAGUUGUUUCAGGACAAUCCCGAAUAAAGUGAUCGGAUGCUCCACAUCUGAAACAAACAUUUUCACCUGCUCUACACUCUCCGGGGUGGCGUCUCCCACAUUGAGGACAUUCCGGUCUAGGAGGUCGAGUACUGCCAGUACUUGCAACUGUAGUGGUUUGAGCUCUAAAACCCUCGAAUCUUCUACUUCUGCUUCGGCCAGAAUAUAUAUGUGGAAAAUGUGAUCCGCUAGAGAGCUCCCUAGGCCUCUUAGAUGUAGACUGAAAUGAUUUACUCAUUUGCCUCUUCUUUGUAUCCUGCGCUCCAGCUUCACCUUUGCUCUUCUCUUUUUCUUUUAACAAGUCUUCUACUUUACAAGCUCUUUCUACCAGAACAACAAACUCUCUGAUUUCCAAUAAACCCACUGAUAGUCGGAUGUCAUCAUUAAGCCCAUCUUCAAAUCUCUUGCACAUGUUGGCUUCGGUGGAUACAAAUUCCCGAGCAUACUUACUAAGUCUGACGAAUUCGCGUUCAUAUUCAGUCACGGACAUCUUACCUUGUUUUAGCUCAAGAAACUCCUUCCUUUUCUACUCUGUAAAUCUCUGGCUGAUGUACUUCUUUCGAAACUCCUCCUGAAAGAAAUCCCAAGUAACCCUCUCACUCGGUACGAUAGACACGAGAGUCUUCCACCAAUGAUAAGCGGAAUCUCUGAGAAGUGAGACCACACACUUCAUACAUUCUUCCGAUGUACAAGAUAAUUCUUCAAAAACCCUGAUGGUAUUCUCAAGCCAGAAUUCUGCUUUUUCUGCAUCGUCAUCUUUGGUAGCCCGAAAUUCUUCAGCCCCUUGCUUCCUAAUCUUAUCAACAGGUGGUCUCUCCCUGAUAAAUAUACCUGCAGCUGGGGAAGCUACAUGGGGAACCUGUGAAUUUUGAGGGGGUGGAGGUCUUACAGCCGGAUUCGUACGAACGAACUCGGCAAACCAAUCAGUCAUGGCUUGGAAGAAGGCUUCUCUAGCUCCUCCUCCAUGUCUAUCUGAUGCAGGUCUUUCACUAACAUUAACAUCUGAUGGCACCGUCCCUUCUGCCGGAAUAGGUGCAUUACUCUCUACUUCAUCUGUACUAGCUCGUUCAGGAUCCAUAACUAUAAAAGAAAACAUUUUAAAAUCGUCAGGAGUCGUCACACUAUCAAAAUAUAUAAGUAUGGCAUGUAUAGGUAGACUCUUAUUCUUACUGAGUAUUUCCGAGAACCGACUAAACCUGCUCUGAUACCAAUAAAAUGUAACACCCCUUACCCGAGACCGUUUCCGGAGUCGAGCACGAGGCAUUACUUAGCUUAUCUUACCAAUUCGGAGCAUAAAAACUAGGUUUGAAAAUUUAUUUCAUUAUUCGCAGCAAAUCUGUCCAAUCGCGCAGCAGUUACUAAAUUAAUUAUAACUUGAGCUACAGAACUCGAAAUUUAAUUCCGUAAAUUUUCCCUGAAACUAGACUCAUAUAUCUACUCACCAUAAAAUUUUUAGAAUUUUUGGUUUAGCAAAUUAGUACAGUUUAUUAGUUAAAGUCUCCCCUGUUUCACCACCUGACUGCCCUGCCCUCUAGUCACUAAAAAUAAGUUUUCUCACUGUAGGAUUUUCAUAUGAAGUUCUUACUUAUUUCUAAAGAAAAUAGACUCAUUAAGAAAUUUAAGCAUGUAAAUUUCAACUCAUAACCAUUUUUUUACAAUUUGUAAUUAUUUUCUAAACUCAGAACAGGGGACUCCAAAAACAGUUCUGACCCUAUCUUACUAAAAUUCACAUAUCUUAAAAUAUAAAUUUCCUUUUUCUACACCGUUAUUUUUCCAUGAAAAUAUACUCAACAAGCUUUAAUUCCAUAUAUCAUUAACCCUCUAAUUCAUUUUAUACUAUCUUGGGUGAUUUUUCAAAUUCACGUCACUGUGCUGCCUGAAUUCUGUUUCUUUGCAAAAUUUUAUCCUUUCAUGAUUUCCAUGCAUAAUUUAUCACCUAAUCUUUCAUAACAACAAACACCUUCAUCCUUAACCAUUUUAAUAACCAUACAUCAUCAAAUACUUACACAUCACUCAUUAGCAAAAUCAUCAUUACAGACAUACAAAAUAACUAAAUCCCUAUACAUGCCAUAACUCAAACGUGUUUCGAUAUAAAAUACCGAGCAGUUGUAGUUGAUAGUGUGGACGAUCUCCUACUUCUUUAGGAUCCUUGAAGUAGCUUUGCAAUACUAUAAGAGAAAGAGAAAUAAAAGAAGUAAGCAUAAAGCUUAGUAAGUUUACUAGCAAAUAAAUAACAAUAUUUAACUUAAAUAAUUAAACUCAAUGUCUAUAUCUCUAGUUUACUCUUUAGUUAAUCUCAUACUAGUUCUCUUACUUGUUUACUUAGAAUACUUGUGUGCAUAACUUACUCAAUCCUUUCUGCAUCGUUGAACAUCAAUUGAUAGUAUAAUAAGUUCUUAAGUCUUACAACUUACCUGAGCUUGCCAUUUAUGCUUUAAACUGAACUUUCAUGAACAUGAUUCGUUUACAAGCCCGUUGAGCUACAUUGGAAUAAUAAGGAUACUCGGGUCUCUUCUGAUAAUAACAUGCCAAAGCCAUGUCCCAGACAUGAUCUUACAUGGGAUGUUCUCGUGAUGGUGUCCAUGCCAUGUCCCAGACAUGGUCUUAUAGGGGACCUCUCAUCUAGGUGCCAACGCCAUGUCCCAGACAUGGUCUUACAUGGGACCUCUCGUCUCGGUGCUCAUGCCAUGUCCCAGACAUGGUCUUACAGGGGACCUCUCAGGAUCUUAAGGAUGCCAAUGCCAUGUCCCAGACAUGGUCUUACAUGGGAUCUCUUUACCCAAAUGUCAUGACAUUCGUAUCCAGUACCAUCCUUAUGUAUCAACGGGACUUUUAAAUUUUAAUUCUCUAUCAUUUCAUGCUUGGAUCAUCAUCAAAUAAAUUCAUAAAAUAAAUUCAUAAUUGCUGGAAAUUAACAGCAUUAAUAAUAAAUUUUGAAAUAUUGCAUUUAUUUACCGUAAACUUACCUCGGUACCAAUUAUAGCCAAAUUCACCAACUUAGUCUUCAACUUUAUUCUUCCCUUUGUCUAACCUCGAGUUUCGUACUUCUUGAUCUAAAAUAGUAAAUUUAACUUAUUUAAUAAUCACAUUCAUCAAAACAGCCCUCGACUCUAACUUUUUCAAAAUUACAAUUUUGCCCCUAAACUUUUACAUAAUUACAUUUUUGCCCCAAGGCUCGGAAAUUAAACUUCAUCUCUUAUUCUUAUGUUUUAUAACAUUCUGAACAUUUUUCCCUUCUAUGGCAACAUCAAAUUCCCACUCUAACAUGUACUUAUGAACAUUAAGUAUUUUUACCGAUUAUGUCGUUUUACUCGUUUUCACUAAAAAUCGCUUAGCAAAAGUUGUUUAACAUAAUUUCUAGCUUCAUAUUCUAUCAUAAAACAUCAAAAUAAACACUUUUCACCUAUGGGUAUUUUUCCAAAUAUAAACCCUAGGUUAAAUUAUUGCUAAAAUAAGCUAAAUUAAGCUACCGGGAUCUCAAAAACGUAAAGAACAUUAAAAACGGGGCUUGGGAUCACUUACUAUGGAGCUUGGAAGCUUGAAAACCCUAACUAUGGCUUCCCCCCUUGCUGAUUUCGUUCAUAUGAAGAAGAUGAUGAUUUUUGCCAUUUUUUCCCUUUUAAUUCAUUUUAAUUACUAGAUUACCAAAUUGCCCCUAACUUAAAAAUUUUCUAUUUCACUUAUCUCAUGUCCAUUUUUGUCUACCAAGUUACCAAUGGUAUAAUUACCAUAUAAGGACCUCCAAUUUAAAGUUUCAUAACAAUUGGACACCUCUAACAUGUAGAACUCAACUUUUGCACUUUUUACAAUUUAGUCCUUUUGACUAAAUUGAGUGCCCAAACGUCAAAAUUUUCGAACGAAAUUUUCAAAAAAUCAUUUUGUGAAAUUGUAGACCAUAAAAAUAUAAGAAAAAUAAAAUUUUUCUCAUCGGAUUUGUGGUUCCGAAACCACUGUUCCGAUAACCUCAAAUUUGGGCCAUUACAGAGCCUCCAUGUGCUGUGCCCCAGGUUCACAAACUGCAAAGAACUUUGUCCCUAAAAAUCAUAACAUGCAUAUUUGCAAAAUCAACAGUGUAGAGAAUUCAUCGAAUGGUUAUUUAGAAUCCAUUUAAAGGAGAGAAUUCAUAUUUGUACAUGAGUUUGAAGAAGAUGAAGUAUAGAACUUAUGUCUUAUUAUCUUUAUGCAUAAGGAAAUACCAAUCUUGAUGCUUAAACUAAUAUGGAAGAAGAUGAAGUAUAGAAGGCUUUUGGAUAGUUUAUGCCACGUAUUAAAUAAGUUUCUCAAAAAAUAUGAAAAUUGUGAAGUCACUAAGAAUUCCAGCUGCUAUUGUCUGCCAUGCAUCAUCCAAAUCAAAGACAAACUCAGGUGGGAUUCUAAUCUAAUCAGUUUCCAUUAUCCAACACACUCUUGCUUUGUUUUACUGUUUAAUCUAAUUAGUUUCCAUUAUCCAAGGUUCACUAAUCCACUUUCAACUAAAUCUAAGGUAGAUAUUUUUUUUAAGUAAAAUUUAUAUAUCUUAAAAAUCAUUAAAAUUCCGGCCAUAAUUUUAAUUACUCCCCUUAAACAAAGAAGUUGAAACUUCCAUUAUUUUUGUGGUAGAAGGGAGGAUCUUUUCCCAAUGAGUAAUCUAAAUGCACUCUUCAAGGUUACAAUGUAAAACAGUAUCUUCAUCUAAAGCAUUCAAAAUCAAGAAUAAAGUUGCAGACAAUUGCAGUUAAAACUUUUUAAGGUAUGAGUGGCAUACAAGUUACAAACACUCUCAAGUGGCCUCAGGCAGGUAAUGUCUCCCUUAGGUUCGUUAAUGACAUGUGGGAGGCUAGUGGUGGAUUAUGAGCUUCAAAGAAUAUAUAAUUAUUGUGUUUUACAGCACAUCUCAUCACCAAAACCAUAAAACAAUCAGUUAGAAGUUUCAAUUACAAAAUAUACCCUUCAAUCACCAAAACCAUAAAACAAUAAAACAAUUUGUUUAACAAGUGAGACCAAUUCAGUCAAAUAUGGAUAGAUAGGUAUUCAAAAUUAGAAGAAGUAGAAUCAACUCAAUAUCAAAGCAAUAUAUUAGUCUAGAAUUAGAAAUUUGGGACCCUAUCAUGUCUAAAUGAUAAAUUUAUGAAGAAACAAUAACCCAUUUCAAUAUAAUUUAAUUAACUAAGAUUUACUCGCACUAAGGUAAUCCCGAUUCAUCUCCAAUCACUCUCUCAAUAUAUUGUAACAAGGCCACUCUAAAGUGUACUUUGAUUUAAACAUUAGAUUAAGUUUGAAUAAGUAAAAACGUUCAACAAAAUCGAUAAAAUAAUUUAACCCCACGAAAGUUCUUUUGUAUUGAUAGUUUUCUUAUUCAAGGGAAUGUAUCACUUGCUUCCAUUCUAUGAAUUCAAUGCAAUCCCCAAUCCUAUUUUCGCAAUCUAAAAACUCAUUUGGUAGUGUAUCAAAUGAUAUUCCUAAAAAUUUUCAUAUAUUUCUUUUCUUUUAUUUUUAUAUUUAAAUUAUAUUAAUUAAACUCAUUUGUAAAAUUCAAAAAUUUUAUUUUUAAUGUAUCAAAUAAUUACCCAUUUGAUAUUGAAAAAUCCUACAUCGGAUGGACCAUAAUCAAUUAAAAUUUCAAUUAUUAUUUUUGUAGACAAUUUUAAAAAAAAAAUUUGCAAUCAAGUUAAGAUAUUAUCAUAUGUUUAUAAGUGUUAUAUAUAUAAUAUGUGAUAUUUUAAAUUUCGUUUAUAAAAUUUUAAAAAGUUAUAUUAAUGCAUGCGAUAAUAUCUUUAAAAUGUAAGGGUAAAAAAAAGGGAAUUAAUAAGGAGAUUAAAAUUAGCAAAACAAUCAACUUGUGUAGAAAAUGGGAAUUCACUAUUUGAACUUUAUAAGCCACUAAAACUUGGAAUCACUUCGAAAGCCCCAUUUUGAAAUAAUUUUAAGCUACACAUCAUUUACACUCAAAUAAAAUAAGAUUUCAUGUAUACAAUUUACUUAAAAUGUUAAUUUACAUUUUUAAACCCGUGUCAAAAAUCAAGUCAAAAGUUAAAUUGAUGAAGUUUGGAUCUAUUGAUUCAAGUUGAAUUAAUUAACUACGAGAAUUAAGUGAGAUGGUAAGAAUUUUUUUACCUUAAUCAGUAGUCGAGGAUUUAAUCUUCGUUCUGGGUAUAGAGCGACUUUAAAACUCGUGGUCAAUAUUUACUCCAUUAAUUAGUUUACAAAAUGUGAAGAUUUAAUUACUGUACUCGCUCUAACAUAUCCUUUGAAAAAAAAGUUGAAUUAGUUUAUUCAACUAAAUUUAAUAAACUUAAUAUUAAAUGAGUAAUAAAUAAGAAUGUACAAUUAAUUUAAUUUAACUUUUUAUUUUGGUUUGGGAUAUUUAGAAUUUUAAAAAUGUAUAUAAACGCACGCCCCAACAUUGCAAUAGCCAAAAGAAUUAAUUUCUGUCCUACGGAACCAAACACUCCGAUUUGUUAAUAAUGCUACCCUGUACGAAACCAUUUUUCUCAUUCUCAAACUAAAUUAUUAUGAUUUGAGUGGGUAUAGGAUGAAUAUCUUUAAUUAAUGAGCUGUUGAGAUUUAAUUUGUUGAUGUGUAUGAAAUUAUUUUUUUUUAAAUAAGGUAUAUUCGUGUUUGUUUUGUAGUGUAUGAAAAUUAAUUUUUUUAAGAUUCAUGUUUGUUCCUCUUAACAAUAUUAGCACUAAAGAUGACAAUCGGGUGGGGUGUUUUUUUGUCAACUCUUAAGAAAAAAAAUUUCACCCCAAACCUAAACCCAGAAUUUAAUAGGAGAUCUAACUCUGAACUGGCCCGACUUGACUAUUUUUCUAAUUAAGGUGUAACGUUAUUUUUUUAAUAGAAGUUAAUAGCCGAGGAAUAAAAAUAUAAUAAUUUAUUAACAUUAGGGACUAUUACUUAAUUUUUGAAAAUUAAGUGACCAAAAUGUAAGAUUAAAAAAUUUUAGAGACAGUUUAUAAGGAAUAUAAGUAAUAUACGGAGUACAAUCACAAAUAAAUAUACAAGGAGGAUUAUCAUGAAUAAAUUUGGGAGGCAGUGGAAUUGGCAUCAAAAUGGAAUUUGUUAAUUUUGAUUCUCAAGGUAUUUUGAUAUAAAAUGCUAUUAACCCAAGAUUAUGUACAAGUGUUUGGAAGUGAUUUUCUAGCAAAUUUAAAGGUUAUGUAUUGAUAUAUAGGGAAGUCAAUAGUCAUAACACAAAUUAGAAAGUUAAGGUAUCAAUACGUAUGUUUAAUGUAUUAAUAUACACUUUCAGGAUAACUAAGCUGUUUAGGCAUGUCUAUGUUAAAUUUAUAAUUUUUUUUAUUUAAUAUUUAGUAAUGAUAUAUAUAAUUUUUAUUAUCAUUAUAUUUAUUUUUUUAAUUUUUAAAUAUAAAUAAUUUAAUAUAUUUGGAUUUGAGUGCAUUUGUUUAUCUUCCUAUUUAAGGGUUAGGAAGGGAUUAUAAAUAGUUUUAGGGAUAGUAUACAUAAUACUGUAAACAACAUUUUAUAUUAUAAAUUUAAAAACGAAUCAAGAGCUUGUUGGUUUCAAGCUUUGAAAUAUUGAAACUCAAGCCCAAUUCGUAUUUUAAAUGAACCUAAUAUUUUUACUCAAACCGAUUUUAGGGAUCAAUAUUUUUAUCUAAAACCUCUUAAAUAUUAAGCGAAAUUUCGAGUUUAAACAAAUAACCCAACUUUAAACUGAUGUAAUUAAAUUUCGUAAAAAAUGUAAUUACUGAGCGACACCAAUCCAGAAGCUUAGAGGGAUAUAGUUAAUUCGGAAUCUACUUGGAAAGCAACAAUAUGAACAAAUUUCAAACCACAUCAAUUAUAGUAUAAUAAAAUAUGAUAUAAUUAAUACAAAAUUCACUUUUUUAAACAAGGAUGAAGCGACAAAUCAUACAAGGGAAGCGUGAAAAGUUUGGUCGAAAAUUAAUUACUCCCUCAAGUUGUUCACUUACUUUUCAAACCCACUUCAAAAUCAAGAAUGAACUAACAAAUCAUACGAGGGAAGAGUGACAAUUUUGGUCCAAAAAUAGGUUCACUUGCUUUCUAAACCAACAAUCAUGGAAAGGAAGAGUGAAAAACAUUGGACAAAAAUUAAAUUAGUAAAGCUUUCAAUUUUCCAUAUUAUUCAAUUAAAAUAAAAAAUUUGAUAAAUAAACUAAAACAUACAUUUUAUUUAAAUAUUAUUAUAUGAUACAUUAUCAGUAAAAAAAAGUCUUUGAAUUAUAUUUAAAUAUCUAAUAAAUAAAUAAUGAAACUCUAAAAAACAUUUCAUCUUAUCCAUUAGUGGAGCCGACAAGAUUAUUUGCUUUGUUUCAACUUCAAUAUAAAUAAUAAAGUAUAUGCACUCAACACGAAAGAUUGAAAAAGUAGGACUUAGUAGCAUUUCCCACUAGCCGUCGCUAAAGGGUUUGAAUGAUGACAUUAGGAUUCCUUACUUUGUGUAACCAUUUUUUUUAAACUCGUGAGAAUAUAAAUUUCAUAGAUAUCUUAAGAAAUAAAAUAAUAAUUGAUUUUAAAUAUUAUGUGUUGGCUUGAUGAUCAAGAGUAUUUACUGCCCCAUUUGUGACUUGAGUUUCAAUUGCACUAGUCAUAUUUGUUGUUACGACUUUCUCUUGUCAUUGUAAUUAAAAAAAAACAAUGAUUUAUUUUCAAAUAUUUAAAAGCUACUUUCUCAUAUGAUAUUAAUUAGUUCACAAAUGAAAUACGACACUUAACUAAUUUUGGCUUUAAUAUAUUGCACUCGCAACUAUCCAUAUAUUAUAUUUUGCACUCACCUUCUUUUUCAAGUUUUUAUUAAUUUUGUUAUGUACUUAUGACCAUCAACCCUAAAACAAGAUAAAGUUCGGGUUGCCUAUCCGUGACACGACUAGGGCCUACCAGAUGGAUACAUGCAAGCCUCACAGUACAAAGUUAGCAAGGAGAGCUCGUGGUCUCAGCUUGCAUAUGCUCAAGAAGUGUCCAGCAGGCAGCCCAGAAUAGUAUACGUGUCCAGUAUGUAUAGAGUCUACUAAGAACGUUAAUUCCAUGAACAGUAGCUAUGUAUAUAAAUAUUCGAUUGUCUCAUUUAAUGAAACAUAAUGAAAAAUUACUCAACAAAUCUAUUAAUAUAUUGUAUUUUUUUUUAAAAAAAUUGUUUUCCUAAUUUAAAUUUCAUUUGAGUAGUUUGAUAAGAGAUGUUGAAUUGGUAUCCAGUGCAUCGAUUGUAACAUUUAAAAGAUGAUUUUUUUUUCUGUAAGACUGAAGAUGUGAUUUCUUUUUCUUUAAGACAGAAUGCAUAAUUGUUGAUUUUCUUCUUCUUCUUGGAAUAAUAAAGAAAGAGAAUAAUGAACUACCCUCUUUUAUUCUUUCCUUUAAUGCUGCGAGGGCUCAACCUAUUGGCUGGGAAUGGAAUCUAUACAAAUGUCUUUUAAUAGAAAAUUAUUUGAUUAUUUUUUGGUAGAGUGUUUAGAUUUUAUAAGUAAAAUUUUAAAGGUGUUAUAUGUCUUAUAUGGUACAAUAUAAGAUAAAAUAAAAAUUUAAUAAUUAAAAAAUUUAUGUUCUAGUGUUUGAGUAUUAAAACUUUUAUUAAUAUCUAGUAUAAUUUAAUUAAUUAAGAUUUAGUCGAGGUAAUCCCGAUUCAAAUCCUCUCAUCUCCAAUCACUCUCUCAAUAUAUUGUAACAAGGCCACUCUAAAGUAUACUUUGAUUUAAACAUUAGAUUAAGUUUGAAUAAAUAAAAACGUUGAACAAAAUCGAUAAUAAUAAUUUAACCCUAGGAAAGUUCCUUGGUAUGGAUAGUUUUCUUAUUCAAGGGAAUGUAUCACUUGCUUCCAUUCUAUGAAUUCAAUGUUUAUAGGAUACUUGUCAAUCCUUAAUCUUGUUUUUACGAUCUAAAAACUCUAUCGGUAGUGUAUCAAAUGAUUUCCCUAAAAAUUUUCAUAUAUUUCUUUUAUUUUAUUUUUAUAUUUAAAAUAUUAAUUAAACUCAUUUGUAAAAUUCAAAAAUUUUAUUGUUAAUAUAUCAAAUAAUUACCCAUUUUAUAUUGAACUCAUUAUGAUUCCUAGUCGAUUUGACUGCACAAUCAACUAGUGAAAUCCUACCUCGGAUGGACCAUUAUGAAUUAAAUUUUCAAUUAUUAUUUUUGUAGAAGAAAAUUUGCAAUCAAUAUUAUCAUAUGUUUAUAAGUGUUAUAUAUAUAUAUAUUAAGAAAUAAUGAAAUAGGUUUAAAAUUUCGUUUAUAAAAUUUAAAAAAUUUAUAUUAAUGCAUGCGAUAGUAUCUUUAAAAUGUAAGGGUAAAAAAAAGGGAAUUAAUAAGGAGAUUAAAAUUAGCAAAACAAUCAACUUGUGUAGAAAAUGGGAAUUCACUAUUUGAACUUUAUAAGCCACUAAAACUUGGAAUCACUUCGAAAGCCCCAUUUUGAAAUAAUUUCAAGCUACACAUCAUUUACACUCAAAUAAAAUAAGAUUUUAUGUAUAAAAUUUACUUAAAAUGUUGAUUUACAUUUUUAAACCCAUGUCAAAAAUCAAAUCAAAAGCUAAAUUGAUGAAGUUCUGGAUCUAUUGUAGAAGAAGAAUAUAAGAGAAUUGCAGAUAACUUUUAUUUACAAUACAAAGGCUCAGUUCUAUACAACUUACAAGAAAAAAGAGAAAUAACAGAAUUGACAACUUACAUAGGUGUAACUGACUAACUGCUAACUAACUAACAGUUAAAUUAGAUCUAUAUUACUAACAGGUAUGGAAAGCAAUCCCAGCUUGGACAACAUGAUCUGAAAAGGAACAGCAACAAGAGCUUUGGUGAAAAUAUCAGCUAGUUGAUCCUUGGAAGAGCAAGGGAGCAGUUUAAUAACACUAGAUUUCACCUUUUCACGAACGAGAUGACAGUCAAUUUCUAUAUGUUUAGUACGUUCAUGAAAUGUGGGAUUUGCAGCAAUCUGAAGAGCGCAGUUGUUAUCACAGAACAAAGCAAUAGGACCAGAAAUAGGUAGGUGCAAAUCACGCAAAUCACAGAACAAAGGCUGGAUUUUCAUUUGGAUGAAGGUAAUAAGGACUAGAAGGUAGUGUAGGAUCAUAGAGUGCCAUUGGAAAGAAAGAAAACCAAUGAAAAUCAAAGAAACAGAGUGUUUGGGAAGCGAGAAAGUGCAGGAAAAUACAAGAGAAUUGAAAGAAAAUUUAAACCCUUUAACAUUUAAAAAUUUUAAGUUAAUAUAAUGAUAAAAAGUAUAUUUUGAUCACAAAAAAUUAUGACUCAACUCUAUACUUUAAAAUAAUUUUUUGGGUUCACCCUCGAGUCCAACCAUUCGUACUGCUUAGUAACAUAUAUUAUAGAAACGUAACAAAUUAUUUCUCUCUCCCAUCACUACAUGCACAUAAGUGCAUUCACUAUUCCAUGCAGUAUCUCAUACGUCACAUGCACAAUACUUACAAACCAGGACCAUCAUCUUUUCUAUAUAAAGGAUCCUCCACCUACAAACAUUCCACACACAAAACAUAAUCAUGGAAUCCUUAAAGAAUAUCGUUUUCCUCAUCGUUGCUAUAUCUCUAGUUCUUCAAGCCACGGUGCCUCCAACUGCGUUAGCCGCUCGUAACGAGGUUAUGUCCUCUGCCGCUGUAUCGAAAGUGGCUAAUGAUUCCAACGGUUUGGCUGUGGUUUUCGAGAAGGUAGGCCCUGGCUGCAAACCUAAAGGUUCGUUUUGCUUGUUUGACCUAACCAGUUGCUGUAGGCCUUGCGGAUGCCUUGCAGGGUGGUGCUAUAACUAUGAUCAUGAAUGCAAUGAGUACACAUAAUGGUCGCUACUGAGUUUAAAAAAAAGAAAGAAAAACAGCUCUGAGUCAGAAAACGACAUGGGAUUCAAUUAUAAAUGUUCUAUAUAUAACAUAUGUAUUUGAAUAAAGAAUCUCUCGUGUUAUGUCCCUGUUUGGUUGAGCUCUGCCAUUGUUGUAAGAGUUCAUGUUUUUCGUCUUCUCGUUGGUGUGUUGGUAUUGUGUGUACCCUUGUUAUUGGCAUAUGUAAUGAUAACUAAGUUUACGAGUAUUUACCUAUUUUCUUUUAUGUAUAAUAAUUUGAUACUAUUGCUUUUUACAAAACAAACUUUUUUUAUGCACUUUUAACAUGAUUUGGUAAAUGUUAAAACUUUUUUUUAUAAAUAAAUCUAAUAAAUAAAUUUUCAAAUAAAUAAAAAAUAAAGAAUCAUGAAGCUGAUUUAUUAUUUUCUUAUUCGAAAGGUAUAAAGAUAAUGUGGAAUAACAGUUUUAUACCAUUCUUUUAUAACAUUUUUCUAAAAAAUAAUUUAAGCCUCGUGCUCAAUUUUAAAUAUAAAAUAUUUAUUUUAUAUUAUAUUAAAAAAAUUAAAAUUAAUUAUUCGAUUCGAUUCAGGGUUUUAACUUGAAAACCAAAACGAGUGAGUAGUAGCCUACUAGAGUACGUAGAUCCAAUUAGCAAAUCAACACUAGUUUAUACGUGCUUCCUUUGAACCGCUUCCAAAUCAGCUCCAAAAAACUGCUAGAGGCUCGAGCAACUUAAAAACCUCAAAAUAAUAAAAAUUACAGAGCUGAAAAGCACAAAAAAUGCACCGUUGCAGAGGCAGGUGAGCUGAAAAACUAGCAGCUGAAAGGGACAAACCCGUCACGUGCAGCUCUCCAAUAGCAGGUCAUGGAAUUCAGUGAAGAAAAACCACAGCAGGCAUAAGCAGCACAAAACCAGACCCAAACAGCUCAAUAAACAGAAUUGAAACAGUUGAUUAGACCCAAACCAGCUCGAAUCAGUAGCAUCGUUUUCUAUAUAAUGGGCCGCCUCCACCUACAAGCUAUUCCACACACAAAAAACAUAAUCAUGGAGCAGUGCAAGAAGUUCGCUUUUCUGAUGGUUGCAAUGGCUCUGCUUCUUCAAUCCAUGGUGCCUCCGACAGCAUUAGCUGCUCGUAACAAUGUUAUGGAAUACAAUCCAUUGGCAAGCGUAUUCUCGAGGGAAGGCCCUGGCUGCAUCGCAAAAGGCGGGUUUUGCUUGUUUGACCUAACCAGUUGCUGUAGGCCAUGCGGAUGCCUUGCAGGGUGGUGCUAUAACAUUGAUCAUGAUUGCAAUGAGUACACAUAAUGGUCGCUACUGAGUUAAAAGAAAACAGUUCUGAGUAAAAAAAUGACAUGGGAUUCGAUUAUAAAUGUUCUAUAUAUAACAUAUGUAUUUGAAUAAAGAAUCUCGUGUUAUGUCCCUGUUUAAUUGAGCUGUGCCGUUGUUGUAAGAGUUGGUGUUUUCCGUCUUCUCGUUGGUGUGUUGGUACUGUGUGUACCCUUGUUAUUGGCAUGUCUAAAAAUAAAUAUAUAUGUCAAUCAACUAAGUUUUAUGAGUAUUUACCUGCCUCUCUUAUCUAAUUCAUGGACGGAUCACAUUUUAUAAAUUGAGCGAGGAGAUGUUAUUGUCGAGACUUGAAUCCUGGACUUUAAAUAUUAACACACAGCUCUUAACUA